CAGUAGCCACGGUAAUACGUAGGUGGCAAGCGUUGUCCGGAAUUAUUGGGCGUAAAGGGCUCGCAGGCGGUUUCUUAAGUCUGAUGUGAAAGCCCCCGGCUCAACCGGGGAGGGUCAUUGGAAACUGGGAAACUUGAGUGCAGAAGAGGAGAGUGGAAUUCCACGUGUAGCGGUGAAAUGCGUAGAGAUGUGGAGGAACACCAGUGGCGAAGGCGACUCUCUGGUCUGUAACUGACGCUGAGGAGCGAAAGCGUGGGGAGCAAACAGGAUUAGAUACCCGCGUAGUCCCUGUCUCUUAUAA
rnacentral:rRNA from 1 species